ACGGCGAGUGAAGCGGGAUGAGCUCAAAUUUAAAAUCUGGCUGGUUUACUAGUCCGAAUUGUAGUUUAUAGAAGCGUUUUCGGUGGCAGCCUGGGUAUAAAUCCUUUGGAAUAGGGUAUCAUAGAGGGUGAGAAUCCCGUCUUUGACUCAGUGCAUGCUACUAUGUGAUACGUUUUCAAAGAGUCGAGUUGUUUGGGAAUGCAGCUCAAAAUGGGAGGUAAAUUUCUUCUAAAGCUAAAUACCGGCGAGAGACCGAUAGCGAACAAGUACCGUGAGGGAAAGAUGAAAAGAACUUUGAAAAGAGAGUUAAACAGUGCGUGAAAUUGUUGAAAGGGAAACGUUUGACACCAGUUAUGCGGGUGGAAAAUCAAUCUUUUGCAAUGGCAAGCUGUGGGCGUUCAGACCGCAAGGCUGGCGUUUGCUUCAUUGUUGUUGUAAGUGAUGCACUUUUUCAUUUGCAGGUCAACAUCAGUUUGUUUCGCUGGACAAAACCCCAAGGGAAGGUGGCAGCUUAGGCUGUGUUAUAGCCCUGGGGCGAUACAGUGGAAUGGACUGAGGUUUUCGCAGCGUGUGCUUUCGGGCAAGGUCGACUGGGUGCUAUGGGAUCGUUUGGCGUACAAUGCAUGCAUUUUGCGCUUCGUCUUUUUCAUACUCGCUCAAAUCGUCUCUUCCACGC
rnacentral:rRNA from 1 species